AGGAAUUAUGUUUCGAGAGUGAUGUUUUAAAAGAUUCUCCUAAAAAAGAGUUAUGUGAUAAGAGUUGACUUUGGAUCUCUUGACCUGUCUUUGCCAUUUUCUCCUUCAAAGACUCCAAUUCAUUUCUAAGGGCCAAAUUAACAAACAUUGCUCUGCUAGUCAGCUGUACUUUCAAAUCAUGCAUUUUUUUCUGCAAAAGGAAAAGGAAGAGUUUUGAGCAUACAUGUGUAAACUACAACUCAUGGUGCUUCUCAGACAUGAACACAAGGCUUUCAGAAGAACCAAACAACAUCCAAGCCAUGGAUUAUCCAGAGUGUAUCUUUACAUAUUCCUGGUGGAAUAUGAAGUGCUGUACAUGUCCCCUGCUGUGAGUUUAAUUACCUAGUUGGCAAAACUACUAAAUUAGGUUCCUUGGACAUAAUUUUGAAUAAAGACAUUCGCUUCAGACUUCAUAAUCCUUUGCAUUCAUCUGAAUAAAAAGACUGAAUAAACAUGAGAGAAUUCCAGUUCUAUAGGACAGAACAGCAGGGCAGUCAACAGGGCUGUCUUCAUCCUCAGUACAGCCCCUGCAGGGAGUGCAAGGGGCAGCAGUCUCUACAGGAGGACAGAGGAUCUGCUGUCACUUAUGAGCAGAAUAGUUCAGGGUGGGACACAGCUCUGUCUGUUAUUUCUUAUGCACUUGUAUACAUGUUAUGAUGUUUAACUUGACUAUUUACAAAAACUUGUUAUUGCCCUAUUUCAGACCUCUCUGAUUUGGAGAGCAUUACAAGCAGACGUGGUAAAAUAAAAUGCACACCUGAUUUCAGACUA